UGAAGAUGUGUGGACAGAGGUAUACACUCUGGGACACACUGUGACGUGUUACAGCUCCCACGAUGAGAUGUUUUCUAGGCUGUUUUGGGAAAGACACAAGGAGAAAAGACAGCCUUCAAGUGAAUAGCAUUGGUCAGGAUUGGGAAGAUUCAAGUCUAGACUCACUUAGGACAUAGGUCCGGGAUGAGUGAAUGCAGGAGGUCGGCCAAAACACAGCCCGGUGACUCAAUUCUUAAAUGAUUUACAAUGAACAUAACUCCAGAGACUUAUGCUGAAUAAAUACCCCCAUUUAAUAAGUAUUAAGGAGAGAGGUAAGGCAGAAGGGCCAAGGCAGGGGGUGGGGAGCCAGCUGCUCCUGUUGAUCUCCCCACCUCAGUUUCCCUGUGCAGGACGGGGCUGCUCAUGAACGGAUUUGAGAAGUGAGUGCAAGUGACUUGGAAAAUUCCUCAUCAAAACCAAUU